UACGUAGGGGGCGAGCGUUGUCCGGAUUCAUUGGGCGUAAAGAGCUCGUAGGCGGCUGUUCAAGUCGAUUGUGAAAACUCGGAGCUCAACUCCGAGCCUGCGUUCGAUACUGGACGGCUAGAGUCUGGUAGGGGGCCUGGAAUUCCUGGUGUGAGCGGUGAAAUGACGCAGAUAUCAGGAAGAACACCCGUGGCGAAGGCGGCUCUCUGGGACGGUACUGACGCUGAGACGCGAAAGCGUGGGGAGCGAACAGG
rnacentral:rRNA from 1 species